CUCCUGAUGAACGACCUCCUGAUGAACGACCUCCUGAUGAACGACCUCCUGAUGAACGACCUCCUGAUGAACGACCUCCUGAUGAACGACCUCCUGAUGAACGACCUCCUGAUGAACGACCUCCUGAACCAGUUGUAAGUUUAUUUCUCGCUUGUUAAGAUGUAAAAAUCGCCGCUGGCAGAUAUUGUCAGCCUAGAUUCUCCAACUUAAAUCACCUUAGUAAUCCUUGGACUUCUUCACAGUUUUUAAUUGCAUCCUUGUGAGUUGGCCCUCAACUGUAAGGAAAGGUUACAGGCACCCCUCUCCACUCCACUUAAUUCCUCCAUCAAUCAUCCUAACUAAACAAAUCUUUCCUUGUCUUACAGGAUAUUCUAGCACUUUGAGAAAUCAAAUCAGGGUGUGAAAUGAGUUGGCUUCGCAGACACGUUUAAAGAAAAACAAUUUUGCAAAUACAUUGGAAGGCAGAUGAUAUGAAGACAAUGAAAUUCAUAGCACAGGGCCUUCUCUUCCUCGUCUUCCUUUGCCCGCGCGCCUUUAAGAGCUUCUGCGGAGGUUGACCGAUAGUCAAUCAAAAUAUGGUCUCGAAACUCUGCAAAGUCUUUGUUCUACUUUUCAUUCAUGCUUUCUAAAGUUGUGAAAAAAGUUUCGGAUUGAUAGGGAUGCAACUACCUGAAAACUACAAGGAGAAUUUCGACGUUUCGAGCGAAUGCGCUUCAUUGGGAAGUUUACAAAGUUGUGCUCGGAGAAGACGAUGAUUUUUUUAGAUAAUUAAGCAAUCAUGCAAUGGCAUUCAGUGCAGUGCUGUUGAAAGGAUUGAAAAUCUCGAGUGUAAAUUUUAUGCGUUUAUUAUACCUAACUAGGAGCAGUUGUGAAAAAUGCAACUAUAUAGGCCCUCAGGUAGGAAUCGAAGCUACGGCCCUGCGAUUCCGGUGCAGCGCUCUAGAUAACCAACUGAGCUACAGAGUCCAGUUGUCGAGCUAUAACGGGCACAAGUUCGUGUAUAUUUAACAAUUAGACAACGAGGCCGAGUUGUCUAUGAGCGAAUAGUCAACGAGGCGAAGCCGAGUUGACUAUUUGCUCAUAGACAACGAGGCCGAGUUGUCUAAUUGUUUUAGUAUAAACUUUAACAUUAAUUUACAACUGGGCUGCAAACACAAUACAAAAAUACACAAAAAACAUUAUAAAACCAUUAAAGGUAAACAAAUAUUUUAGUUUUCGUUCGCGUAAAAUGUUUUACAAAAUUCAGUUUUAAUUUUAAAAUUUCAUUGAGUGUAUGUUAUUUUGUCUAUUUUCUUACCCUUAAAAAUUGCCAUUCCAUAUUUUUGUUGCUUUUUCGGGGUUUUUUAGUACAGAAUUGUUCAACAAGUCGUCCAAAAAAAUCAUCAGACACUUCGGCAAAAGUGCAAAAUGCGAAUUUUCCGCCAUUUUGAAUUUUCUAUUAGUAGGCUAUCACUAAUAGCCCACUAGUAGCGUAGCCAAUCAGAAGCCACGAUAUGUGAUAGCCUACUAGUAGGUUUAUACUAAAUACUACAUAGACAAUAAUAGACGCUUUCAAGUUUGGCAAGUUUCUAGACCAUGGCAUAUGACUCGAAAAUUGACGGUGUUAUUUCUUUGUCUAAUGUGAAAGAUCAUUGAAAACUGUAGAAGUAACUUCUUUGAUAGAUUUUGUUUUCUUGCCUCGUUUGAAGAUAUUUCAUUUUGUAUGAUAUGCAAAGGACCAACUUUCUACGUCACAUAUGCAUAAUGAUUUAGCCCUAAAAACUGUAUAUCUUUCAUACGACUAAACACAAUCAGUAGAGAACCUACAUGGGUGUUGUUGUGGACAAAUCUCGUGCUCAUCAUUCAUUUUGAGCGAAUUUAUUUGAUAGUGACAAAAUUAUAUAACAUUUUAAAGUAAGUCAUUAUGCAUGUGUGCAAGUUUUCAAUGAUCUUUCAAAUUAGACUAAAAAAUAACACCGUCAAUUUUCGAGUCAUAUGCCCUUUAAUUGACUAUUGGCUGACAAGUCCGCUGCAAUUUUUGCUACCGCUGUGAUUUUUAUUUAGUUGGCUUAUUUAUGCGGCUGCGGUGAAACGUUUUAUUGUUUAUUUGUAGCGUUUUUAAUGACGUGCUUAUUUUUCACGUAAUUUAAAUAACAGGUAAUAGAGGUCGUUAUUUAAAUAACAAGUAAUAGAGGUCGUUAUAGCGCCUUGCGGCCCCUUAUCCGCUGCUCAGGUCAAGGCUAUGUUAUUGUUCUUGAAAAUUAAUGUAAGUAGAAUUGUGGUUGGUUCUAGGUUUUCCCCGGGUACUCCGGUUUCCCUAGCUUGAAAAACUAACCUUUCUACCUUAAGGUAUAUUGUGCGACUUUCCAUUCCAUUUAUACAUAUAAAUUAGAUAUUUAUAUAUAUAAAUUAAACAAUUUUAAUUAAUUGCUUGUAAUGGAGUUAAUCAAUAAUAUAACUAGUAAUAAUCUUAGAUUAGUGAAGUGCGUUCGGUCACAGAGGUUCGGUGUAGAGUAGACGUUGUCCAAAAUGUUAUUAUUGCAUCAUAGGGUAGUUAUCAAAAGUGGGCCGGAUGCCAUCAUUUGGAAACAACUGAUUUUUUAUUGCAUCUACUUCUCUUUACUGUUUUUCACAGGCUGGCAUAAGCUAUUCAUUUCUGUUGUCACAUUGUACAUUAACUUUGUCUUCAAUGUUAUCACUGGAAGGGCCUACUGUAAAUCAGGCGAUAUUAUUUCAUGUGUCCAAAUAUCAUUUUCAUACUCAACUGUCAUAUCAGAUGGAACACUACCAAUAGGGAGUGAAUCUAAGGAAAUGUUGAUUGAUAGUCACAUUACUAUAAUGUAG
rnacentral:lncRNA from 1 species